rnacentral:lncRNA from 1 species
UGGUGCACCACAAUGUCUCGAAGCAAGGCACCUACCAACUCCCUCUCGAAUUGCAUGCUUUAAAGAUGUCGCACAUCAAGGAUGAGUUCAAUGCAUGUGAUUAAUUCACAUGGGCGAUCCUUAUCAGGUAUAAGACACUCGUUUCUUAAUGCAUUGAAACCCUGGGACAUGCCACUGAAACUUUCAUCAUGAAUAGUGCCAUUGACGAAGAUACAUGGAUCCCCACGUUGUAAACUUGUUUUAUAAACGUGACUGAAAUCCUCAUGUUCUAGGGAACCAGCGUGCAGGUCGGCAUUUCUAACCAUUAAUAGUC